GAUGAACGCUGGCGGCGUGCCUAAUACAUGCAAGUCGAGCGAACGGACGAGAAGCUUGCUUCUCUGAUGUUAGCGGCGGACGGGUGAGUAACACGUGGAUAACCUACCUAUAAGACUGGGAUAACUUCGGGAAACCGGAGCUAAUACCGGAUAAUAUUUUGAACCGCAUGGUUCAAAAGUGAAAGACGGUCUUGCUGUCACUUAUAGAUGGAUCCGCGCUGCAUUAGCUAGUUGGUAAGGUAACGGCUUACCAAGGCAACGAUGCAUAGCCGACCUGAGAGGGUGAUCGGCCACACUGGAACUGAGACACGGUCCAGACUCCUACGGGAGGCAGCAGUAGGGAAUCUUCCGCAAUGGGCGAAAGCCUGACGGAGCAACGCCGCGUGAGUGAUGACGGUCUUCGGAUCGUAAAACUCUGUUAUUAGGGAAGAACAUAUGUGUAAGUAACUGUGCACAUCUUGACGGUACCUAAUCAGAAAGCUACGGCUAACUACGUG
rnacentral:rRNA from 1 species